rnacentral:tRNA from 2 species
GGACGGUUAGCUCAGCGGUAGAGCAUUCGCCUUACACGCGAAGGGUCGCAGGUUCAAAUCCUGCACCGUCCACAA